UUAACCGCAGGCCUACACAUGCAGUCGAGCGGAACGAGUUAUCUGAACCUUCGGGGAACGAUAACGGCGUCGAGCGGCGGACGGGUGAGUAAUGCCUAGGAAAUUGCCCUGAUGUGGGGGAUAACCAUUGGAAACGAUGGCUAAUACCGCAUGAUGCCUACGGGCCAAAGAGGGGGACCUUCGGGCCUCUCGCGUCAGGAUAUGCCUAGGUGGGAUUAGCUAGUUGGUGAGGUAAGGGCUCACCAAGGCGACGAUCCCUAGCUGGUCUGAGAGGAUGAUCAGCCACACUGGAACUGAGACACGGUCCAGACUCCUACGGGAGGCAGCAGUGGGGAAUAUUGCACAAUGGGCGCAAGCCUGAUGCAGCCAUGCCGCGUGUAUGAAGAAGGCCUUCGGGUUGUAAAGUACUUUCAGUCGUGAGGAAGGCGGCGUCGUUAAUAGCGGCAUUGUUUGACGUUAGCGACAGAAGAAGCACCGGCUAACUCCGUGCCAGCAGCCGCGGU
rnacentral:rRNA from 1 species